rnacentral:rRNA from 1 species
AACGAACGCUGGCGGCAUGCCUAACACAUGCAAGUCGAACGAAGUCUUCGGACUUAGUGGCGCACGGGUGCGUAACGCGUGGGAAUCUGCCCUUGGGUGCGGGAAUAACUUUCUCGAAAGGGAUGCUAAUACCGCAUAAUGUCGUAAGACCAAAGAUUUAUCGCCCAAGGAUGAGCCCGCGUAAGAUUAGCUAGUUGGUGGGGUAAAAGCCUACCAAGGCGACGAUCUUUAGCUGGUCUGAGAGGAUGAUCAGCCACACUGGGACUGAGACACGGCCCAGACUCUACGGAGGCAGCAGUGGGAAUAUUGCGCAAUGGGCGAAAGGCCUGACGCGAGCGACGCCGCGUGGGUGA